rnacentral:tRNA from 1 species
GAGGUGGGCUCAGUGGAAGAGCCUCUGCUUUGCAUGCAGAAAGUCCCAGGUUCAAUCCCUGCCAUUUCCA